rnacentral:rRNA from 1 species
CCUACGGGUGGCAGCAGUGAGGAAUAUUGGUCAAUGGACGAGAGUCUGAACCAGCCAAGUAGCGUGAAGGAUGACUGCCCUAUGGGUUGUAAACUUCUUUUAUAUGGGAAUAAAAUGUUCCACGUGUGGGAUUUUGUAUGUACCAUAUGAAUAAGGAUCGGCUAACUCCGUGCCAGCAGCCGCGGUAAUACGGAGGAUCCGAGCGUUAUCCGGAUUUAUUGGGUUUAAAGGGAGCGUAGGUGGAUUGUUAAGUCAGUUGUGAAAGUUUGCGGCUCAACCGUAAAAUUGCAGUUGAAACUGGCAGUCUUGAGUACAGUAGAGGUGGGCGGAUUUCGUGGUGUAGCGGUGAAAUGCUUAGAUAUCACGAAGAACUCCGAUUGCGAAGGCAGUUCACUGGACUGCAACUGACACUGAGGCUCGAAAGUGUGGGUAUCAAACAGGAUUAGAUACCCUUGUAGUC